AUAUCCCUACGGGAGGCAGCAGUGGGGGAUAUUGCACAAUGGGGGGAACCCUGAUGCAGCGACGCCGCGUGGGUGAAGAAGCGCCUCGGCGCGUAAAGCCCUGUCAGCAGGGAAGAAAAUGACGGCACCUGAAGAAGAAGCCCCGGCUAACUACGUGCCAGCAGCCGCGGUAAUACGUAGGGGGCAAGCGUUAUCCGGAUUUACUGGGUGUAAAGGGGCGCAGACGGGGAUGCAAGCCAGGAGGGAAAGCC
rnacentral:rRNA from 1 species